rnacentral:rRNA from 1 species
UACGUAGGGUGCAAGCGUUGUCCGGAAUUAUUGGGCGUAAAGAGCUCGUAGGCGGUCUGUCGCGUCGGCUGUGAAAUCCCGAGGCUCAACCUCGGGUCUGCAGUCGAUACGGGCAAACUGGAGUGUUGCAGGGGAGACUGGAAUUCCUGGUGUAGCGGUGAAAUGCGCAGAUAUCAGGAGGAACACCGGUGGCGAAGGCGGGUCUCUGGGCAACAACUGACGCUGAGGAGCGAAAGCGUGGGAAGCGAACAGG